rnacentral:rRNA from 1 species
AGCGAACGCUGGCGGCAGGCCUAACACAUGCAAGUCGAGCGCCCCGCAAGGGGAGCGGCAGACGGGAGAGUAACACGUGGGAACGUGCCCUUCAGUUCGGAACAACCCAGGGAAACUUGGGCUAAUACCGAAUACGUCCGUAAGGAGAAAGAUUUAUCGCUGAAGGAUCGGCCCGCGUCUGAUUAGCUAGUUGGUGGGGUAAUGGCCCACCAAGGCGACGAUCAGUAGCUGGUCUGAGAGGAUGAUCAGCCUCACUGGGACUGAGACACGGCCCAGACUCCUACGGGAGGCAGCAGUGGGGAAUAUUGGACAAUGGGCGCAAGCCUGAUCCAGCCAUGCCGCGUGAGUGAUGAAGGCCUUAGGGUUGUAAAGCUCUUUCGGCGGGGAAGAUAAUGACGGUACCCGCAGAAGAAGCCCCGGCUAACUUCGUGCCAGCCGCCGCGGUAAGAC